GAACUUCAAGGCAUCAUAAACCAUCAUAACCUGACUAGGCAUCUCUGCGGACAAAAAGUUCUUUCAGUUCAACGACGUAUUCCGUAUGUAGCUUCUACAGACCAUCGUUUAUUGCUUUGGCCGAGCCAUUGCCAAUAUUCUGGAUAUCUUUAUCAUAAUCAUUUCUUGAAAUAUUUCUCUGCGUUUAAACUACGUACUAAAACUUAAACGAAACACAGCUUUAAUAAAUUAACAUGGAAGCAAAACUACUAUCUGUUCUACUUUCGCUAAUUUUCCGUAAAUUUCACGUCCCAGUGAUUCCAUGCCAUGGUGGUAACGGUGGUAACCGUGGAAACGGCGAAGCAAUCAUCUUUGCAUGUGACAACUACAGCUGAAAUGGUUGCAUUUGUAGAAUGUAGCGAGAACACAGGAGGAAAAUGUUUUGAAGAUAAAAGCAAGCAACGUGUUAUGCCCCAUGCAGCGACAGCACAUGCAUGUACGACUUUCAAAAUCAGUGAAUCUUCAGUUCGAAUCAAACUGAAGGAAUUUUAAAUAUGCAGUUCACCUUGUACCAGGUGAUGACGAAUAGUGUGUGUCCCAGCUCUUCUUCCAUGAACUGCAUUCUACUCAGCAACAUUAUGCACCUGUGAGUCAUCUUCAUAAGGCAUAACGCAGUUUCUUGUCUGCUCAUUAUCCCUUCGUAAACUAGGAAGAUAAAUCCAUCUGUGGCCCUAGAAUGGCGUCAGUACUGGCCACAGUCUAAAUGCCACUCCCAUCAAUAUCUGUUUCUAGAAUGACGAUAUUUUGUUUGGGCUACUCGAAGAUUUUCCCUCCAGCAUCAUUGUAAGAGGCCAGUUCAGAAUUUUCAGAAUCAUAUUAUGAUAUUUCUUUUACAUGUAAUAUUGCCUGUUUUCUUCCAUAAGAUGAGAUGUGAUACAAAUACAAAUUAGUACAAUACCCUGUUAAUACUUACAACA